rnacentral:sRNA from 1 species
AGAAAAGGGUGUCCGUCCGUUUGAGAUAGGUGUGGGAUUGAAGGAAGUAGUUCAUCUCUGGCUCCAGCGUGUCAAGGUUAAUCUGGUCCAUCAGAAUGACGAUCAAAUGGCGCCUCCUCUCCAGCAGAGUUUGGUGGAAGGCUUUACGGAACUCUAACAGGCACCACUCGCUCUGUAGAAAGUUCUGGGAGAGGACAAUGAUGGUAUGGCGGCUUUUUUCUACGCUUUCGAUGAUGUUGUCAGAGAUGCAUGCCCCAAGAAUGAAAUGCUUGUGAUGGAGGCAGAGCCUGAGCGGUGGACACAGACCCUCGAGACGCUUACACAGUGUCCCCAUCACCCAACUCUCGUCCAGAGCGCUGUACGAAACAAAUGCGUCGUACUCCUUUAAUCGAAUGACGCCACUUCUAUGUGGUCUCCAAAAGCGGAUUCCUAGCCUCGUAUAGGUCAAUAUCUUAAUCUCUUUCCUAAACUUCACAACAAGACAAACAAUUGUUAUAAAUGUCAGCACAAUUAAACCAAUAUAAAGUUCUUGAAACGUCCACGAUCUGAAUCGAGCAGGGCUGUUUGGACAAAGAACCAAAGAGUCCAAAGACCUUAACGGCAUCCCUUGUAGGCUUGACGGAUAGUAACAGGUUUCGUUGGCUAGAUAAUGGUAGUUGACGGCCCAGGACUCCUCAAUCUGAUUCCUGACAAACUGGAGGACUGGUUCCAAGUCACUCUCGCACGCACAAACGAAUUUGUUCUUGGCAAAAUCCACAGCCAUGUUGCUCAUCUUGAGUUUUUCUAUCAAGGUCUUGGUGAUUCUUGAGAUAUUGUUAUGACGCAGAAUCAGUUUAAUCAGUUUACCAAAAUGAUUCGGUCUUCUAAGAUAUGGAAUCUCCUUUAUUCUGUUAUGUGAGAGAUCAAUUAUUCUGAGUGACCUGAAUUGGCGAAACCAGUUGUAUUCCGUAAAACGGGCCGGUAUAAAUUCUAAAUUUGCGUCUGAAAAAUUUGCAGUGUGCAAUUUUUGGAAACUUCCAAAUCGUAGAAAAUAAAAUAUUUCAUUUUCGAUCUUUCGAUCUAAUAUUCCAAAAGGGGACUGAAAUCCCGAUCUUUCAUACAUCUCCAAAUUGUCAUAGUAACAAAUGUUUCCAAAAGGCAUGUCUUGGAAUCCAUCAAAACCAUUAGAAUUACUCAUCUUAUCAAAUUUUGUAUAUCUCAGCUUCAAGACACGUAAGCCCCGCGGGAAAAAGGUCAUACAUCCGUAGAUUUUCUGCAAACGUUCAGCUUGUUCCAAGACACCAGUUUUAUUAUACAGAUACGAAGAAUUGAUGAUUUCUAAAACCUCCAACGUUCCAGAGGCUGGCUGCGGUGGCGUGUCCAGCUCCUGAAACUCUGCAAAUAAGCCCUUUAUUUUGACGCAGUUGUUAAUUCUUAGCUCUGUCAGAUUUCCUGCCUCCAUUGGGUGACUGAGAGUCAAGGUUCCACCGACACACACGAUGUCCAGAUGAAUGGCUGACCGGGCUUGCUGUAGAACCCAUCGACGAACAUCUGAGAAGUUCAGUCCAGAGCGCACCUCACAAUGGACCUGUAGUACGAUGCCGUUAUCAGUGGACGUACAGUUCUGGUUAUGAAUGACGUCAACAGCAGUGUACCCCCCGAGACUGACCAACGUGACUAACGAUGUCCAUACGAGCGUGGCUACCAUACUGACGUUGUGUGCACGUCUGCCAAAGAGUCUCGUUAACUAUUCUAUAAAAAAUGAUUGACCAAUACAUUAAUUGUAUAGUAAUUUGUAUUGUAAUAUUGUAAUUUAAUACGGAUAGUCUAAUAAGAAAUGAUUACCUUG